ensembl:lncRNA
CCCUGAUCUGCUAAUGACGCUGCACCUUCAUCCACAGCGGAUGUCAGCUUGUGAUGGGAUGUAAAGAUGGGAGAGGAGAGCUGAGCUGAGAUGGAUGAUAACACUGUCCAGUGUGAUGGCAGCUCCUGACGUGUCUGCUUCUGCCCGAUUCUUUCUGUGUUUGCUUUGAGUUUAGCUGAAGCUUGGACAUCGCCUGCCUUCUGGUCGAGGACCCUGAUACUCCUGAAGCUGCAGAGAAAGCGAAACAACAGUUUAAUUGGCAUUGAGGACGAGCACGAAGAUGUUUGCAGCUGAGGCCAAAAAACUGAUUGACAAGGUGGGAGAUAAAGAGCUCAUCUAUAAUGAGAGCCUAAUCAAGAAAGUAGAUCUGCUGACUCUGGUCAAAGUCAGCAAAGGAAAAUUCUGGCCAGUGCAAAAGUACAAGAUAAUGCAACUCAGUCUGCCCGAGCUCAUGGAGGUGGAAGACUUCAGCCCAGGUGUGUAUUCAGAUGCAUAAACACACACAUAUUUUGUGUCACACAAUAUAAAUACACCUUUUUUUAUGACUGAGUCCCAUUGGCCUGGUGAUGAUGAUAUAAUACUGUAGUUCACAUGCUGACCUUAAUUCACAGAAUCUAUCUUAUUCAUCUCUGCCCCUCAUCGUCCAUACUUUUGCCAGAAAGAAAGGAAGGGUGAUAAAGUAAGACAGAGGAUGAUGGGUUGUGACCUGCAAGGCAAACAGGCUCACCAGUGUCACAGUGAACUAAUACAUUCCUUAAUCCACAGAAGGGAGAAUCAGCUGGGAGUGUGUGUCUUUAUGCUCCAGUUAUACCAGAGGUGGCGAGUGCACAGAUGAGCCCUUUGUGAGUAAUUUCAUGACUUCAACAAAGACGAGCGGGAGAGGAGGGUUAGGUGGAAAAGACAUUGGUGUGUAUGAAGCUGAAGUGAAUGCAGGCGCUGACAGUAUGGAUGGACUAGUUCAGCCCGUCAACAUGAUGUCGAAGAAAGUCGACCUUAAAGCCCUGAGGAGCGAGCUCAGUGACGGGACCAUAAAAACAGACAAAGUGAACCUGCUGGCACUGAAAACGAAGGAUAAACUGGCUUUUGUUCACCAGACAAUUUACAACUCUUCUCCUGUCACACUUAUUAGAAAGUGCACGAGGGAUGGGUCCUUGUUAGCCUCCUGCAUAAAGAUACUGAGUCUGUUUGCAAAGGGCCACAGAAAAGAGAAGACAAGCUUCACUGUUCCAGAAAAAUCCACCUUUGCUUACGGCCUGGUGGAGAUAAAGAUAGAGGAUGAGAAGCUAAAGAUCUCGUGUGAACCCUGGACUCGAGGUGCCCUCGAUGGACUCUUUGGCGAUGACAUAGAGAGUGCGAUGCUACAACAGAUUAAAGAAGAACUAAAGAUGAAGGAUGCUUUUCUGCAGCCGCUGGCAGAUCUUCCCGAGUCGACCCGUCAUGAUCUACUGAAGAAGCUCAGCGAGCUUGCUGAGGAUGGGGAUACUCUCUCUCUGCUGGAGCAAACAUUGGAUCACUGCAGUAAUGGAGCAUUUGAAGGCACUUUGUCUCAGGCUGCCUCCUCCUUCAUGGACCUUCUCGAUAUUUCAAACAUCUCCACUGCUGUGAAGGAUGCUGUUCACCUGUUGGUCAGCGCGUUGGACACUCUGCCAGAUGAAGUGCCGCCACUUCUGACCUGCUGCAGUCCAGACACUCUGAGAGUGCUCAACCAGUUGGUGGAUGGUCUGAAGGACGGUCGGGCCACACUGCCAGAGUCCCUGCCCGUCCCCCUGCAGGAGGGAGGGGAGCUCCGCUGGGCGGCCGAGUUCAUCUGUUUGAACGAUCAGAAGCUGAAAGAGUUGAGUGACGGCUGGGACCGGCCCGAGCUGCCCCCAGAGGUUCUGCUGGAGGUUCUGUGCCUCGCUGUGCAGGGACUCAGCCUCCUGAUGCAGCCCACAACAAACCCUUAAUGUCAGCUGCUGUGAUCUUUGUUAACCUGUUUUCACAGCAGCGUUCUGCAUCUUUGAACGUUUCUGCCAUUGUUUCCUGAACUUUCAUCUGUCAAAGAUCAAAAACAAAAAGAAUAAUCUAAUAAAAUAUAUAUAUAUUUUUAAAUAAAUAAAACUUCAUACUUUUAUGUUCGGCUCAUGGUUUUAAUAUUUUAUUAGUUUUUGCUGCACUCCUUUAUGUUCUGUCCUGUUCCCUCCUCUGUGCCCCUGACCCUGUUUCCAUGCUUGUUUACUGUUAGUUAUUUUUACAAUAUUGAUAUAGAACUAAUCUCUUGAAAUAUCAUAUAUCAGAUUUGGUACUUGAGAGACAAGAAAAAGAAGUGACAGCAUGCAGAGAAGGAGGCUAAACAUUGUGCCCUCUGCUCCAGAGACAGUCCUCACAAACAGGCGAUAGAAACUGUAGGGUCAGAGUCUGGACUGAACCUGUCAAGAGUAUUUUUGUUUUUAAAGGUUUUAUUAUUCAUAUAAUAAUCAGCUAAGAGUGUUUAUAUUUCUGUCUUGUACUCAACCAGCUGCAUAUUUUAAUUGCUGGCUCUCUACUCUGUAACGGAAACUGUUUGCCUUCACAUUAAUUGUCAGCAGCAGGAAACCGCCACCCAAGAGCAAGAAACAACCUUGUAGAGAAUACAAAGUUCUUGAGAAAUCCCACCUGCUUGCUUGACAAGAUAAGCAUGAUAUUUCCUUUUUUGUAUGCUUCCUGUUGUGUAUAAAUAAAGGCAGCGAGCUGCUCCACGGUGUGUGAGUCUCCCC